rnacentral:rRNA from 1 species
AUUGAACGCUGGCGGCAUGCUUUACACAUGCAAGUCGAACGGUAACAGGCCUUCGGGUGCUGACGAGUGGCGAACGGGUGAGUAAUGCAUCGGAACGUGCCCAAUCGUGGGGGAUAACGUAGCGAAAGUUACGCUAAUACCGCAUAAGCCCUGAGGGGGAAAGCAGGGGAUCGCAAGACCUUGCGCGAAUGGAGCGGCCGAUGUCAGAUUAGCUAGUUGGUGGGGUAAAGGCCUACCAAGGCGACGAUCUGUAGCGGGUCUGAGAGGAUGAUCCGCCACACUGGGACUGAGACACGGCCCAGACUCCUACGGGAGGCAGCAGUGGGGAAUUUUGGACAAUGGGCGCAAGCCUGAUCCAGCCAUGCCGCGUGCGGGACGAAGGCCUCGGGUUGUAAACCGCUUUCAGCCGGAAGAAA